rnacentral:rRNA from 1 species
GGGACACGUGGUAUCCUGUCUGAAUAUGGGGGGACCAUCCUCCAAGGCUAAAUACUCCUGACUGACCGAUAGUGAACCAGUACCGUGAGGGAAAGGCGAAAAGAACCCCGGCGAGGGGAGUGAAAAAGAACCUGAAACCGUGUACGUACAAGCAGUGGGAGCCUCUUAAUGGGGUGACUGCGUACCUUUUGUAUAAUGGGUCAGCGACUUAUAUUCUGUAGCAAGGUUAACCGAAUAGGGGAGCCGAAGGGAAACCGAGUCUUAACUGGGCGUUAAGUUGCAGGGUAUAGACCCGAAACCCGGUGAUCUAGCCAUGGGCAGGUUGAAGGUUGGGUAACACUAACUGGAGGACCGAACCGACUAAUGUUGAAAAAUUAGCGGAUGACUUGUGGCUGGGGGUGAAAGGCCAAUCAAACCGGGAGAUAGCUGGUUCUCCCCGAAAGCUAUUUAGGUAGCGCCUCGUGAAUUCAUCUCCGGGGGUAGAGCACUGUUUCGGCAAGGGGGUCAUCCCGACUUACCAACCCGAUGCAAACUGCGAAUACCGGAGAAUGUUAUCACGGGAGACACACGGCGGGUGCUAACGUCCGUCGUGAAGAGGGAAACAACCCAGACCGCCAGCUAAGGUCCCAAAGUCAUGGUUAAGUGGGAAACGAUGUGGGAAGGCCCAGACAGCCAGGAUGUUGGCUUAGAAGCAGCCAUCAUUUAAAGAAAGCGUAAUAGCUCACUGGUCGAGUCGGCCUGCGCGGAAGAUGUAACGGGGCUAAACCAUGCACCGAAGCUGCGGCAGCGACACUAUGUGUUGUUGGGUAGGGGAGCGUUCUGUAAGCCUGUGAAGGUGUACUGUGAGGUAUGCUGGAGGUAUCAGAAGUGCGAAUGCUGACAUAAGUAACGAUAAAGCGGGUGAAAAGCCCGCUCGCCGGAAGACCAAGGGUUCCUGUCCAACGUUAAUCGGGGCAGGGUGAGUCGACCCCUAAGGCGAGGCCGAAAGGCGUAGUCGAUGGGAAACAGGUUAAUAUUCCUGUACUUGGUGUUACUGCGAAGGGGGGACGGAGAAGGCUAUGUUGGCCGGGCGACGGUUGUCCCGGUUUAAGCGUGUAGGCUGGUUUUCCAGGCAAAUCCGGAAAAUCAAGGCUGAGGCGUGAUGACGAGGCACUACGGUGCUGAAGCGACAAAUGCCCUGCUUCCAGGAAAAGCCUCUAAGCAUCAGGUAACAUCAAAUCGUACCCCAAACCGACACAGGUGGUCAGGUAGAGAAUACCAAGGCGCUUGAGAGAACUCGGGUGAAGGAACUAGGCAAAAUGGUGCCGUAACUUCGGGAGAAGGCACGCUGAUAUGUAGGUGAAGCGACUUGCUCGUGGAGCUGAAAUCAGUCGAAGAUACCAGCUGGCUGCAACUGUUUAUUAAAAACACAGCACUGUGCAAACACGAAAGUGGACGUAUACGGUGUGACGCCUGCCCGGUGCCGGAAGGUUAAUUGAUGGGGUUAGCGGUAACGCGAAGCUCUUGAUCGAAGCCCCGGUAAACGGCGGCCGUAACUAUAACGGUCCUAAGGUAGCGAAAUUCCUUGUCGGGUAAGUUCCGACCUGCACGAAUGGCGUAAUGAUGGCCAGGCUGUCUCCACCCGAGACUCAGUGAAAUUGAACUCGCUGUGAAGAUGCAGUGUACCCGCGGCAAGACGGAAAGACCCCGUGAACCUUUACUAUAGCUUGACACUGAACAUUGAGCCUUGAUGUGUAGGAUAGGUGGGAGGCUUUGAAGUGUGGACGCCAGUCUGCAUGGAGCCGACCUUGAAAUACCACCCUUUAAUGUUUGAUGUUCUAACGUGGGCCCCUUACCGGGGUUGCGGACAGUGUCUGGUGGGUAGUUUGACUGGGGCGGUCUCCUCCUAAAGAGUAACGGAGGAGCACGAAGGUUGGCUAAUCCUGGUCGGACAUCAGGAGGUUAGUGCAAUGGCAUAAGCCAGCUUGACUGCGAGCGUGACGGCGCGAGCAGGUGCGAAAGCAGGUCAUAGUGAUCCGGUGGUUCUGAAUGGAAGGGCCAUCGCUCAACGGAUAAAAGGUACUCCGGGGAUAACAGGCUGAUACCGCCCAAGAGUUCAUAUCGACGGCGGUGUUUGGCACCUCGAUGUCGGCUCAUCACAUCCUGGGGCUGAAGUAGGUCCCAAGGGUAUGGCUGUUCGCCAUUUAAAGUGGUACGCGAGCUGGGUUUAGAACGUCGUGAGACAGUUCGGUCCCUAUCUGCCGUGGGCGCUGGAGAACUGAGGGGGGCUGCUCCUAGUACGAGAGGACCGGAGUGGACGCAUCACUGGUGUUCGGGUUGUCAUGCCAAUGGCACUGCCCGGUAGCUAAAUGCGGAAGAGAUAAGUGCUGAAAGCAUCUAAGCACGAAACUUGCCCCGAGAUGAGUUCUCCCUGACUCCUUGAGAGUCCUGAAGGAACGUUGAAGACGACGACGUUGAUAGGCCGGGUGUGUAAGCGCAGCGAUGCGUUGAGCUAACCGGUACUAAUGAACCGUGAGGCUUAACCUUACAA